rnacentral:rRNA from 1 species
CUUUGAGGGCAUGCCUCAGUACGGCGAGUGAAGCGGCAAAAGCUCAAAUUUUAAAGCUGGCAUCUUCGGUGUCCGCGUUGUAAUUUUGUGAGGCAUCUCCGGGUAGGGCGCCGGCCUAAGUUCCUUGGAACAGGACGUCACAGAGGGUGAGAAUCCCGUGCUUGGCUGGCUGUCCCCGUCCAUGUGAGGUGUCUUCGACGAGUCGAGUUGUUUGGGAAUGCAGCUCAAAAUGGGUGGUAAAUUUCAUCUAAAGCUAAAUAUUGGUGGGAGACCGAUAGCGCACAAGUAGAGUGAUCGAAAGAUGAAAAGCACUUUGAAAAUAGAGUUAAAAAGUACGUGAAAUUGUUGAAAGGGAAGCGCUUGAGACCAGACUUCGGUAGGGGGUGAUCAGCCGUGCUUCGGUGCGGUGCACUUGUUCCUCUCUGGGCCAGCAUCGGUUGAGGCGGCGGGAUAAAGGUCCCGGGAAUGUGGCUCCUUCACGGGAGUGUUAUAGCCCGGGUGAAUGCCGCCAGCUUCGACCGAGGACCGCGCCCGCAAGGGUUAGGAUGCUUGGCAUAAUGGUCUUCAGCGACCCGUCUUGAACCACGGGACCA